rnacentral:lncRNA from 1 species
UCUAAAGAUACAGAUUCCAGUAUAUGAGAAUUCUUCAUCCAGUUGACGUUGAUAGACAUUGAAAGGUGGGUGUUCCAGAAUUGGUAUAUCUUUCAUGUGAUUCACAAAAGUAAGUGAAUGUUAUAGCGGAAUAACGUGAGCCUGUCACUUGAGAGAAACACAUUAUCCUCUUUGAUGCGUAGUCUUUUUUUCACACUGGUGCUGAGCCUAUUUCAUUUUUUUUAAUUCGAUGUUCGGUUUAAGAGAUUUUAAAGCCAAGAGGAAAUACAUCACUUUAUCACCUUUUUUUCCUGAGAAAUUUUAUAUUAAAUGAUAACAUUAGAUGUGAAAUGUUUGUUCAAAAUUAUCGGAUGAUCACAGCAGAAAAAUAAAAAAUGUCCUUAAAAAAAUGCUAAGAUAACAUUAGUUUGUAGGUAAUAAAAUUCACACUACACCCCACUAACCAGUAAGCAAAAUAUAUAUUUGUUUAGUUUACUGCUAAUUACUGCUGUGACAUAAAAUAUGGUGUGAGUGCAGAGUUAAACUCGUACAAGAUUUCAAAUCAAUGAAUGUAACAAAUAUGACAUUGAAAACCAAGGACCAUAGCAGAGAUGUUUCACCUUGUAAGAUAUAGGCAGUUAUUCAUUAAACAUCAACAUGUAGUGAAUUUAAAACCAAAGUGGAAACCUUAGUCUAAAAUAGUCAAGCAGUGACUAGCAUGAAGCUGGAUAACGUAUUUAAAUCAGCUAUUUAUGCAGAAUCAAUUAAUCUAGAAAAAUAAAUUAAACUCAGGUUCACCCACUGCUUAGCUAUUUAGCCUAAAUCUUGCAUCUGCCUAUUGGUCUGAAGAUCUGCUUACAGUGAUUGCUAUUGCCUUUACAAAAGUACUCGUGGCUCACAGGGUAAGGGGCUUACGCAGACAGCCAACAGGUCUGAAGACACCACACAGGACAGCCAGUUCCAAGUUGAACUAACAUGCAAUACUGUAUUUACUCGAGACUAGCCCAUAUGUUCAUUACACUUAGAUUGCUGUGACAAUUUCAAUAAAAUACAAAUAACCAAAUCAUAACAGACAACAUACAGCAACUUAUUAUAACACAAUGACUUAUUUAUAAGGGGUUGGGGAAGACAAUAAUUAACACAAAAUAUUUCUCCUGUCUGCAGAAUUAGCAAUAGGCAAAUCUACCCUAAUAUGCAAAUUAACAUAUAUCAUAUAUAAACAAAUUUUAAAAUAGUGUUUAAAAGAAUUAUAAAUAAUUUGAAAAGUUUAUUAAAAGUGGGUUAAUCUCAUAAGAACAGGAAUUAGGUGGCUAGGAUAGGACAUGCCAAAAAUUGAGUAUGUUGAUGUUAUGGCAGGCUUACGCAAUGUAUGAUCAUAUAGUACCCAUUGCACAGCGCUACGGAAUUUGCUGGCGCUAUAUAAAUAAUAAAAUAAUAAUAAAAAAUAAUAAUACAACUAAAUCCCCAGCAGCACCCGUAUAACUUAUAAAUGCAUGCAUGCUUAGGUCAAUGCAGUAUGUAUGUAUAUAUAUAUAUAUACUAAAGUCACGCUGAGUUUAUAUAAAAAUUUCUGCAACAGAGCUCAGUAAAUGUAUUCCAUUAAAUAAUAUAUUGAAAAUGAUGAUCCUUUCACCAACUGAAACCAUAGUAAUAUAAUCUGCAAAUAAAAUAUACAUCCCAAAGCCUGUGCAUUAAGGCAGUAAUCCCGAGAAUAUGAUUAUGAGCCUGUUAAAUGGAAAAUGUAAUUUUAGAGGGAAGAACAAUGUAUAAAAUGGUGUAAUGGAGAAGCCUUUGACUCUGAAAACAAAGGAGAAAGAAAAACAGAGGUUUUCGUAUUAUUAUUCUGACCACAGAAUAACUUAGCUGUUUAACCUGUGAAAUCCAAGUCUUGUUCUUAUUUGUCUUUUUUUUCCAGCAUACCAUUAAGGGAUGUCAGCAGCCUUUACAUUAAAUCAUUUCCCUGCAGUGAAGAAUGUCGUGCUGCUGAUUGAGCCACAGAGACGAGAAUAGGUGAACUAACAAAGUAACAACGCAAAAUGACGAACAUAAAGCAAUUCUAUAAAAUUAUAUGGUGAAAAGAAACAUAAAGAGCAAUGGAGUUCAGGGGAAGGAGAAGCAAUAGACGGCCUUGUAUUUAAAGUAAUAUAUAUGAAUCACCAUAACCACUACCUUGCACUAUAGUGGUUAUGGUGCCUGGAGUCCCCUGGCCCUGACCCAGGUGAGGAUGUCAUGUAUAUGUUUCCUAUAGACUGUAAGCUCGUUUGAGCAGGGUCCUCUUCAAACUAUUGUUCCUGUAAGUUUUCUUGUAAUUGUCCUAUUUAGCGCUACGGAAUCUGUUGUCGCUGUAUAAAUGGCGAUAAUAAUGAACAGUUUGACACCUA